AUAUACAUUGCUGCUACAUAUGUGAAAUUUCGUGAUUUAUGUUAGCUAAUUUCAUGUCUCUUUUAGGUCAUGUGUAUUCGACUGGAGAACAGCUUGUAUGUCCAGACUGCAAGGCCAUUGGUGACAGGAAAGAACGGCGAAUGCUUAUGAUGACUCAAAUGAGAAAGCAAUAAGCGUCAACAUAACGAGGCUGUUCGUUAUGCAUUGCAUGCCUAUGCUGAUUGUGCGCUCUAAUGCAUGCAUUGGAUAGUGACAAUAAUUCAAGAAUGCUAACCAGACAUAACGAAUGGAUCUUAUUACAAAAGAUCUUACUACACUAUUAACUAUGUUGUGAAUAACGUUAUGAACAAUGUGUGAACCUGUGCUUCGUUAAUACUGUGAUGAACAUUGUGCUUCAGAGUGAUGAAUGUUAUUGUCGGACGAGUGGACUACAUGAAAACAAAAUGAAGAAAAGCAACAAUGAAUAUUCCUCCUCUGAGAAUAUGAUUCACUGUUACUGAAUUUUCGUGUAUAUACAAUACAAAACUAUCAUCUAAAUUAUUGGAUCGUAGGAAGAAAUUGGCA